GGAGCACAAGCAUUGAAAGUUGUGUUCUGGAAAGGUGCUGGAGCUCAGUAAAUAGAGAAGCCACUGAACAUUCCUGAACCUGAAAGAGAGAGAGAUAAUCAAUCUGUAUUUUAGAAAUGGAUCAAAAUUGAAGAUGUAUGGAAGAUGAAGAAACUAAAGUUCUUAGGAAUUACUCUGUAAGAGGUGGCAACUGGCACAUGGAGGAGCAGCUGCUGGGUCCCUUGCUAGAGCUUCACGUUGAUGCCUUGGCAACGAUCCAGCUCAUGACGUCAUGGCCCUUGAGGACUGUUCACAAAUAGCCAUAGCCUGGAAGGUGGUUUGGAGUUUAUGUUUAAGAAUUUCUGCCUCCCAUUUCGACUCUUGGAGUGCUAGCUCUGCGCUAGGGGCUCUUCUAGAAACUGGAAGUACAGUCUGAAGGAAAAAUCAGGCAGUUUCUGCCUUCCUGAGCUCUAGUCUAUUGAAAAACCAGUUCUGGGACACCUGGGUGGCUCAGUGGUUGAGUGUCUGCCUUCGGCUCAGGGCGUGAUCCUGGAGUCCCGGGAUUGAGUCCCACAUCGGGCUCCCUGCAUGGA